UACGUAGGGGGCAAGCGUUGUCCGGAAUCAUUGGGCGUAAAGCGCGUGUAGGCGGCUAGGUAAGUCUGCUCUGAAAGCCCGGGGCUCAACCCCGGGAGGCGGGUGGAUACUGUCUAGCUCGAGUCCGGAAGAGGAGUGUGGAAUUCCUGGUGUAGCGGUGAAAUGCGCAGACAUCAGGAGGAACACCUAUGGCGAAGGCAGCUCGCUGGGACGUUACUGACGCUGAGACGCGAAAGCGUGGGGAGCAAACAGG
rnacentral:rRNA from 1 species